CCGGUUGCUCCCUCCCACGGCUUCCCCUUUUCUCAGAAAGCCUGGAAACCAAAGGUGAAAGAAGUGGGUGGAAACUUGCGCUGCCGUCCAGGAAGAGAAGUGAGUGAGUAAGUCGGCUGCAAUAUUUAACAGUGCCUCCGGCCCCGCCGCCCGCAGACCCGCCUCGACGGGAGCCGAAGCUGUCGGGCAACCCCUUGAUACUGCUGCACGUGGUCCCUGGAAUAUACCGGAGCUGGCACUUUCAGCCUGGAAUUCCUCAGCUUUUGCAACAGGGUUUGGCUGCCUUGUUACGUGCAUCAGGAUGAUGGAGACACAGCUGGCUGGAGCUGGGGAAGCUGACUCGCACUGGCUGCUUGGCUCUGAGAACUGAAUUCCA
rnacentral:lncRNA from 1 species